UGAGGAGGCAGAGCUGAGACUGUCAGGACUGCUCGCUAACUCUAUGAACAGGUUUAAGUUUUUGAAACUGAAGUAGGUCUACACAGUAGGAGCUCAUGUCUGUUCUCAUAAGUAAACCAGAGCAAAUCAGGACCAAUGAGGUGAUCUCAGAGUCAAUAGCAUCCUUCUCUAAUCAGGAGAUCAUGAGUAGCUUUCUGCCAGAGGGUUGGUGUUAUGAGCUGCUCACUGUGAUAGGCAAAGGAUUUGAGGACCUGACGACUUUGAAUCUAGCAAGGUACAAACUAACGGGAGAGUAUGUGACUGCACGGAGGAUUAACCUGGAAGCUUGUUCCAGUGAGAUGGUAACAUUCUUGCAGGGCAAGCUGCAUGUCUCUAGACUCUUCAAACAUCCCAAUAUUGUGCCAUAUCAAGCCACCUUUAUUGCAGACAAUGAGCUGUGGGUUGUCACAUCAUUCAUGACGUAUGGUUCUGCAAAGGAUCGCAUCUGUACACACUUCAUGGAUGGCAUGAAUGAGCUGGUGAUCACUUACAUCCUGCAGGGGUGCUGAAGGCUCUCGACUACAUCCACCACAUUGGAUAUGUACACAGCAGUGUCAAAACCAGCCACAUCCUGAUCUCUGUGGAUGGGAAGGUUUACCUGUCUGGUUUGUGCAGCAACCUAAGCGUCAUAAGCCACCGGCGGCAGCAGUGAGUGGUCCACGACUUUCCUGAGUACAGUGUCAAGGCUCUGCUGUGGCUCAGCCCUGAGGUUCCCAGUAGAAUCUCAAGGGUUAUGAUGCUAAGGCUGACAUCUACAGUGUGGGAAUCACAGUGUGUGAUUCCCACAUGUCCCCUUUUAAGGAUAUGUCUACUACCCAGAUGCUGCUGGAAAAAUUGAAUGGCACAGUGCCCUGCCUAUUGGAUACCAGCACCAUCCUCUCCAAGGAGCUGACCAUGAGCUCUUCAUGCUCAGUGGCCAACUCUGGCCUGAAUAAAAGCCUGACCACCAGCACCCCCUGGCCCUCCAAUGGCAACUCGCCUACUCACCCUUACCACCAAACCUUCUCCUCCCACUUCCACCACUUUGUGGAGCAGUGCCUUCAUUGCAACCCAGAUGCCAGGCAGAGCACUAGUACCCUCCUGAACACUUUUUUUCAAGCAGAUCAAGCGAUGUGCCUCAGAGGCUUUGCCUGAAUUGCUUUGUCCUGUCACCCCCAUCACCAGUUUUGAGGGCAGCCAGUCUCAGGACCGCAGUGGAAUCUUUGGCCUGGUAACAAACCUGGAAGAGCUGGAGGUGGACGAUUGGGAGUUCUGAGCCUCUGCAAACUGUGCGCACUCUCCAGCCAGGAAUGCAGAGGCCCUACCUGAGGGCUGGCCACAUUCCCACCUUCCUGGGCAGAUUGGGUAGAAAGGACAUUCUUUCAGGAAAGUUGGCUGCUGACUGAUUAGGAAAGAAAAUCCUGGAAAGACAUUUCUUCACUGCUCCAAGGCUUUUGAAUCUCAACACCCCGGGAUUGGGAGGGUCCAAAGCCAACAUUCUCAGUCCUGUGAGGUCAGGUGACCUCCGCAGAAGGAAGAGAUGCUACUCUGGCCCUGGAAGCUGAAUUCCAAGACCAGGGUUUGACUCAUUAACCCUGAGGACUGCCACCUCUUCCCAGUGCUUGCAACCAGCCUCGUUCUAUUUAACUUUGCCCUCAGAUCCUAUAUGUCAGUGAAGGGCAAGUAGUAAGCUGCCUGCCUCCCUUCCCCUACACCUUUCCCUCAGAAUUGAAGAGAAGGGUAUUUCUGUCUUUUUAAACACAGACUGAGACCGUCCAUCCUUAUCGCUAUUCUGGCUUGGACCCUGACACCUAAAUCUUUCCCACGGUUUAUGUGUGUGCCUCAUUCCCUUCCCACCAAGAACCCAUCUUAGCGCCUCCUGCCAGGUGCCCUGGUGGUUUCUCCAAGGGCCAUCAGUGUCUUGCCUAGCUUGAGGGCUUAAGUCUUUAUGCUGUGUUAGUUUUGUUGUCAGAACAAAUUAAAAUUUCCAGAGAC